rnacentral:lncRNA from 1 species
CUCAGACUGGAUCACAAACGAUGACUCCUCUAUUUUGGUUAAACAUUGAGACUUCUCUUUCAAAAUACCCCUUUUACAUGAUCUUUUAUUUUUUUCACAAGUUUCAAGUCUGUAAAAUAUCACUGCAACAACUUAACACACUCAAAGUAUGGAGGUCAGUUCAUCGUUUCCUUGGGAAGGUCCAAACUAACCUCUGCUCUUACCCCAAUUCUUAACAACCCAGAUUUCGCCCCCAGGAUUGCUGGAUGCUGGCUUUAACGUUUGGCUUAAUAAGAGCAUACGCAGACUAAAUGACUUAUUUGCUGAUAAGAUGUUUUAUUGUCAUUUGAGCAGAUGGUCGAGAAAUAUCAACUUCCCAAAAGCAGGACUUUUUUUUCCCGUUUCCUACAAGUAAGACAUUAUAUUCUGAAGAGCACCACCUUUACGUGGCAACCCUGAUCUGUCUGUCAUUGGAAAAAAAUGCUUUUUUUCUUCCCCCUCAAAGGAAAACGUCUGUAAGUCUGUUUUAUGAUGCUUUAUAAGGUCCCUUUCCCGCUGUGUGACACACAGAGGGUGAAACAAGUGUGGGAGAAAGAACUGUCUGUUGCUAUUGAACGAAGAGAUGUGGGAGGACAAUAUCUAUCUGUAAUCGUACGCGAGCAAUUCAAUUAAGAGUAAUACACAGAUUGCAUACAUCCCCAAAUGGCAGACAUGCAUUUUAGCCCCUUCUUCCUCUUCUCCUCAGUGUCUCAAAUGUAAAACUGAUUCAGACACCCUGACACAUUGUUUAUGGUCAUGUACCCCAAAAAAUACAAAGAUAUUAGUCUGGUGGGGAAAUUGAAAAGAUCCUAGAGCGGGUCGAUCUAGAAUUGGACCCAGUUUCUCUACUGUUAGGUCUCCCUAGUAGGCAUGUAACUUCUGUGGAUAAGAGGAGGCUUUACAACAUCCUCACCUUCGCAGGGAGGGAGGGGGGGGAAAAACACAUCCUUUUACAGUGGAUUAGUGAUAAAGAUCCUUCUAUUAAAGAUUGGCAUGAGAGAUACUGUUUGAAAUGGGCGCCGCUGGAAUAUCUGUACAUGUACAUUGCAUUCUAAGACAGAUCAGUUCUACAGAGUAUUGGGAACCUUUACUUACAUUACCUAGAACCUGAAGUAUCAGCUAUAUAACGCUGCGGGGAUUCUCUCUUAGAACGGUGAUCUAUGUAUUUAUAGAAUGACACUGGACGGUCCGUGUGGAGAACACGAUUUCAUGGUUUAAACUGAGCUUUUAUUUUUUAUUUAUUUAAUUAUUUUUUUUGCAAUGAGAGGGGGGGAUGGGGUGAGAGAAGCGCUGAGCGGGGAGAGAAAUGGUGUGUGUGUGUGUGUGUGUGUGUGUGUGUGCGUGCAAGCAUACGGAUAUGUGUAAGUGAGGGCUGGUUUUAUUUUUUGCCUUGUCGUUGUAUCUCUUAAUAUGGGGUGAAAAUUGUGAAACUCCCAAUAAAAAUACUGUUACAACAAACCAAGCAAGAACGGAUAUGGAGAGAUAAUGGUGAAGAACGAUCCAGGUAUUAUGAUAGAGAGGGAGGGGACUCUAUACAUUAUGCAGAGACAGAAUCUCAUAAAGAUGGGACUCUGAAAUAUGAGAAUUUAGUCUUUUCCAUGGAUCAGAUCUGUUGCAUGUGGAAUAGGGUCCUUCCAUGGAGGGGAUCUGUUGCGUGUGGAAUAGGGUCCUUCCAUGGAGGGGAUCUGUUGCGUGUGGAAUAGGGUCCUUCCAUGGAGGGGCUCUGUUGCGUGUGGAAUAGGGUCCUUCCAUGGAGGGGCUCUGUUGCGUGUGGAAUAGGGUCCUUCCAUGGAGGGGCUCUGUUGCGUGUGGAAUAGGGUCCUUCCAUGGAGGGGAUCUGUUGCGUGUGGAAUAGGGUCCUUCCAUGGAGGGGAUCUGUUGCAUGUGGAAUAGGGUCCUUCCAUGGAGGGGAUCUGUUGCAUGUGGAAUAGGGUCCUUCCAUGGAGGGGAUCUGUUGCGUGUGGAAUAGGGUCCUUCCAUGGAGGGGGAUCUGUUGCGUGUGGAAUAGGGUCCUGGAAUAGGGGAGAAUGAGGGGCUGGGGUUGUACUAUAGAUGGUGGGUGGUGUGGAGGGAGGGAGGGGAUGGAGGGGAGAAUGAGGGGCUGGGGUUGUACUAUAGAUGGUGGGUGGUGUGGAGGGAGGGAGGGGAUGGAUGGAGGGGAGAAUGAGGGGCUGGGGUUGUACUAUAGAUGGUGGGUGGUGUGGAGGGGAUGGAUGGAGGGGAGAAUGAGGGGCUGGGGUUGUACUAUAGAUGGUGGGUGGUGUGGAGGGAGGGAGGGAGGGGAGAAUGAGGGGCCGGGGUUGUACUAUAGAUGGUGGGUGGUGUGGAGGGGAUGGAUGGAGGGGAGAAUGAGGGGCUGGGGUUGUACUAUAGAUGGUGGGUGGUGUGGAGGGAGGGGAUGGAUGGAGGGGAGAAUGAGGGGCUGGGGUUGUACUAUAGAUGGUGGGUGGUGUGGAGGGAGGGGAUGGAGGGGAGAAUGAGGGGCUGGGGUUGUACUAUAGAUGGUGGGUGGUGUGGAGGGAGGGAGGGGAUGGAGGGGAGAAUAAGGGGCUGGGGUUGUACUAUAGAUGGUGGGUGGAGGGAGGGAGGGGAUGGAUGGAGGGGAGAAUGAGGGGCUGGGGUUGUACUAUAGAUGGUGGGUGGUGUGGAGGGAGGGAGGGGAUGGAUGGAGGGGAGAAUGAGGGGCUGGGGUUGUACUAUAGAUGGUGGGUGGAGGGAGGGAGGGAGGGGAUGGAUGGAGGGGAGAAUGAGGGGCUGGGGUUGUACUAUAGAUGGUGGGUGGUGUGGAGGGAGGGGAUGGAUGGAGGGGAGAAUGAGGGGCUGGGGUUGGACUAUAGAUGGUGGGUGGUGUGGAGGGAGGGGAUGGAUGGAGGGGAGAAUGAGGGGCUGGGGUUGUACUAUAGAUGGUGGGUGGUGUGGAGGGAGGGGAUGGAGGGGAGAAUGAGGGGCUGGGGUUGUACUAUAGAUGGUGGGUGGUGUGGAGGGAGGGGAUGGAUGGAGGGGAGAAUGAGGGGCUGGGGUUGUACUAUAGAUGGUGGGUGGAGGGGAUGGAUGGAGGGGAGAAUGAGGGGCUGGGGUUGUACUAUAGAUGGUGGGUGGUGUGGAGGGAGGGGAUGGAUGGAGGGGAGAAUGAGGGGCUGGGGUUGUACUAUAGAUGGUGGGUGGUGUGGAGGGAGGGAGGGGAUGGAUGGAGGGGAGAAUGAGGGGCUGGGGUUGUACUAUAGAUGGUGGGUGGUGUGGAGGGGAUGGAUGGAGGGGAGAAUGAGGGGCUGGGGUUGUACUAUAGAUGGUGGGUGGUGUGGAGGGAGGGAGGGGAUGGAUGGAGGGGAGAAUGAGGGGCUGGGGUUGUACUAUAGAUGGUGGGUGGUGUGGAGGGAGGGAGGGGAUGGAGGGGAGAAUGAGGGGCUGGGGUUGUACUAUAGAUGGUGGGUGGUGUGGAGGGAGGGGAUGGAGGGGAGAAUGAGGGGCUGGGGUUGUACUAUAGAUGGUGGGUGGUGUGGAGGGGAUGGAUGGAGGGGAGAAUGAGGGGCUGGGGUUGUACUAUAGAUGGUGGGUGGUGUGGAGGGAGGGAGGGGAUGGAUGGAGGGGAGAAUGAGGGGCUGGGGUUGUACUAUAGAUGGUGGGUGGUGUGGAGGGGAUGGAUGGAGGGGAGAAUGAGGGGCUGGGGUUGUACUAUAGAUGGUGGGUGGUGUGGAGGGAGGGAGGGGAUGGAGGGGAGAAUGAGGGGCUGGGGUUGUACUAUAGAUGGUGGGUGGUGUGGAGGGAGGGAGGGAGGGGAUGGAUGGAGGGGAGAAUGAGGGGCUGGGGUUGUCCUGUUUUUGUCGUUAUAUCUGAAAAUCUCUACAUAAAGUUAAAAAACAAACCAAGAUCAGAGUAACAGCAGCAUAUGAUGAGGGUAAAAGUGUGUGUGUUGGAUUAAGGGAUGGACCCAAUCACCACCAGUCUAACACCGAAGGAUCCAUAUGUGGUUCUGGCUUUAACAAGUCAGGGUCAGGGGUCAGGGGUCAGGGGUCAGGGGGAGAACUCAGCAGCAGACUUGGUUCAUGCCUUAGUUUAUAUUUCUCACAUGAUAUCCUUAUGAAACAUACAUCAUUCUGAAAUACAAUAAAAC